rnacentral:rRNA from 1 species
UACGGGGGGGGCAAGCGUUGUUCGGAAUUACUGGGCGUAAAGGGCUCGUAGGCGGCCAACUAAGUCAGACGUGAAAUCCCUCGGCUUAACUGGGGAACUGCGUCUGAUACUGGAUGGCUUGAGUUUGGGAGAGGGAUGCGGAAUUCCUGGUGUAGCGGUGAAAUGCGCAGAUAUCAGGAGGAACACCGGUGGCGAAGGCGGAUCUCUGGGCCUUACCUGACGCUCAGGUGCGAAAGCUAGGGGAGCGAACAGG